UACAGGGAGGGGACGCGGCUCGGCUACGCGGAACACACGGCGCGGCGCGCUUGCACGCGGGAGAGUCAGGCACGUGUGGCACGGGCGCGGGUUCGGUUCCGGGUUCGGGCGCGCGGGCGGUUCCAGGUUCGAGCGCGCGGGCGGUUCCGGGUUCGAGCGCGCGGGCGGUUCCGGGUUCGGGUUCGUUCGUCGGCUGGAGGCGGGCGCGUUCGCGGCUUCGAUACGGCUCGGGUGUAGGCGCGUUCGCGGCUCGGAUUUGCAGACGCGUUCGCGGCUCGGAUGCAGACGACGAUGGCUGGCGACGCGGCUUCGACGUGGAGAUGGAUCUCGGCUUCGCGACGCGUUCGGCGCAGAGGUGGAUUCGGCUUCGGGACGCGACGGGUUUCGGCUGACCUGCCUCAGAUCGAAGCGGCGCGGCUCCUUCGGCUGGCGGACGCGGUACGACGCGGCUUCUACGAUGGCUGGCUUGCGGCGGCGUGCGACGGCGGCGGCGGCGGUGGAGAUUGGCGGCGGCGGCUAGGGUUUCCCCUUCUCUCCCUCUUCUCUUUUCUUUUCCUUUUCUUUUCCUUUUCUUUUUCCUUUUCUUUUCCUUUUAUAAAAUAAUUUCCCUUCUUUUCUCUUCUUUGUUAAAUUCCAAAUUUCACCCUUCUCUCUCAAAUUUCUCCAAUAUCCUCACCAAAUUCCUCCUUUCCCUCAACUUCCAAAUACCAAUUAAAUCUUUAAUUACCAAGUAUAAUUAAAGUUGAAAUUUGCUUAAUAUUUUAAAAGGGGAAA